CGCAGACCACUACUGGACUCUCAUUUCCUAACUCGGCCCAGCCCAUUCGCCGGUGCCCGCAGGCCGCAGCACACACACAACUUGGCGACUCGCCUCCGCCCGCGAACCGCAGCAGCGUCUCCAACUCUCCAUCGAUGGCGGAGGCGAACGUGGCAGCGGCGUCGCUCUUCGGCGCUGACGGCCGCCUCUGCUCAGCCGACAUCCUCGCGCCGCCUGAGGUCCGGGCUAGGAUCGAGGUAGCGGUGCUCAACUUCCUCGCAGCGCUAGCCUCCCCUUCCUCGCCGGCCAUCUCCGUCCUCCCCCUGAUUAGUCGGAGCUCUGCCAACUGCAGCCUGCGCAGUGGGUUGCUGAACGACGUCUCGUCGGUUUAUCUCUCAUACACCUUCUGCAAGAGGUCUCUGACGCACAAUCCAAAGGCGUUCGUAAGAGUGUGGAAGGUCAUGGAGAUGUGCUACAAGAUCUUGGGGGAGGGGAAGCUGGUCCAGCAACGGGAGCUGUUCUACAAGCUCCUGUCCGACUCACCCAAGUACUUCAGCUGUCAACGUCAUGUCAACCAAGCCAUUCAAGAUGUUGUUUCCUUGCUCCGGUGCACAAGGCAGAGCUUAGGAGUCAUGGCAUCAAGCAGAGGGGCACUCAUUGGGCGCCUUGUGUUGCAUGAACCGGACGGGGAGCAGAUUGAUUGCUCCAUUCUUGGAGCUUCAGGGCAUGCAAUUACGGGGGACCUGAACCUGUUGAGCAAAUUAAAUUUGUCUUCGGGCUCUCGGUACAUCAUUGUGGUGGAGAAGGAUGCCGUAUUUCAGAGGCUGGCUGAAGACCGCCUGUAUAAUCAGCUCCCUUGUAUUCUGAUCACUGCAAAAGGAUAUCCUGAUAUUGCCACAAGGUUCAUCUUGCAUCGACUGAGCCAGACAUUUCCGAAUAUGCCGAUUUUCGCAUUAGUGGAUUGGAACCCAGCAGGGCUUGCUAUACUGUGCACUUACAAAUACGGAAGCAUAUCAAUGGGCCUAGAGUCAUACAGAUAUGCUUGCAACGUGAAAUGGCUCGGGGUGAGAGGAGGUGAUCUGCAUCUUAUCCCCGAGGACGCGUUUCAAGAGCUGAAGCCACGUGAUCUGCAGAUUGCCAAAAGCUUGAUGUCGUCAAAGUUCCUGCAGGAGAGUCACAGAGCUGAGCUGGCGCUGAUGGUGGAGAGGGGCAAGCGUGCAGACAUCGAAGCCCUCUACUCCCACGGGUUCGAUUUCUUGGGGAAGUACAUCGCGAGAAAGAUCGUGCAGGGCGAUUACAUCUGACGAUUGGCCGCUGGAAUGUUAGCAUGGUUGCACGGAACAAUGAGCUGCAUGGACUGUAGUACAGUAGCUAUGUCCAACUGCCUGUAGACUGAAACGAUGUGGCGGUGCCCGGUGUAUGGUCCGGCACUCCGGCCGAUGCAGCCUGUGGAUGGCAGGACCGGGAAUGGAUGCAGGGUGUAGGGUGUCAGUAUACUACGCACCUUGCCGGCGAUCACCUCCGCCAUGCCUAACCUUUGCCCUGGCUUCAUCUUCGCCGUUGCAGCCUGCUUGAGGUUUGAGAGGUUUCACUGCAAGUGCAGCCGUGCAGGUACACCUGAGCGAAGAUCUUGGGCACUCAGCACUCUGGUGUGCCCCAUCGGGGCAAUGUGCGUGAGCUUCCUCAAGAACCCCCGCCCAGGCGGCGAAGAAGGCAGGCACGACUGGAUACUGUCUUCUGGCCGGGGUCACGAUCUGUCAUGCAGAUGGUGUACACGACUACCCAACUACAAGUGGCGUUAUUUGUUCAAUCAACAGGCACAGGCACCGGCACCCUAGGGAUAGCGACCAGCAGCAGCUCAGAGCGUGGGGGCAUGGUGAUCCCAGCCGCCUCCGUCACGUCCAUCUCCUCAGCAACCAUCCCCUCCGGCAUCUCCCAGUCGAAAUGGAACAGCAGAGCAGCGAGCGCGAGCUCCACAUGCGCUAGGCCCAAGGCCGCGCCAGGGCACAUCCUCCUCCCGGCGCCGAACGGGACGUACUCGAAGUCCGCCGCCCCCCUGAAGUCGUCCCUCGCGCCGUCAAGCUCCUGGAACCUCUCCGGCGCGAACUCCUCCGGCGCGUCCCAGUGCGCCGGGUCCCUGCCGAUCGCCCACGCGUUCACCAGCACCAUGGCGCCCCGCGGGACGUGGUAGCCGAGCACCUCGCGUGCGCUAAGGCACUCCCGGAGCAGCACCGGCGCCGGCGGGUGCAGCCGGAGCGUCUCCUUGAUGACUAGCCGCAGGUAGUGUAGGUCGGUGAGGCCGGCCUCCGUCACCGUGCUCUGCCCCGCGAGCGCCGACCGGACCUCGGCCUGCGCCUUCCGCAUCGCCCGAGGGUUCCGUAUCAGCUCCGUCAUUGCCCACUGCAUGGCCGUCGCCGACGUCUCGCCACCGGCAACAAACAAGUCCUGUGUGUGUGUGUGUGUCGACGAUGGCUGAAUGUGCGAUGUAACAGGGAAGGGAUUGAAGGAGAGAGGAGCAAGAUACA